CUCCUGCACUUUCCGGUCGCCCCGCAGCCGAGCGCUCCCCUCCUCCUGAUGGGCGCGCAUGGGGCUUUCCCAAGUCCUAGGGGGGUCCCGCAGCCCCCUGGAGAGCUUCUAACCGCUGCGCGAACUGCAGGGCCAGGAGUCCCUAGAGCCGGGACGACCAGGGUAGCCGUCGUCGCCCUGGCCUUGGGGUCGUUCCCAGUGAGAGUCCACAAGCGGUGGACUGGGGUGUCCCGGACCUCGCUCAAACCGGAGGCAGGAAACCCAGAUGAGGAAUUGCAGCAGCUGGAUUAAGAAGUGUUUCCUAGUGACACAAGUAGUAAGGAAUGGACUCAGACAACCAUCAGAUUCCUCCAACCAACCCCCACUCCUGCCAUGGGUUUGUUUUUCUUGUCAUCAAUUUGUUGAAGAAGACUGUGC